rnacentral:rRNA from 1 species
ACCUCGAUCAGGUACGCAUGCCUAACA